GAGAGGAAUUUCUGCAGCUCUCUCUGAGGUGGAGAGGAAGGACACAGAAAAAGGCGAAACCAGGUGGGCAAGGAAAGGGGGUCUCUGCGAACCAGCAGUCCCCCCAGCACAGAUGGCCGGCAGCCGUGGAGCCUCCUGCUGGUUUGCUACUCCCUUUACUGUGCCAUGCUGGGCAAACAGGACAGACCAGGACAUGCUGGGCAAACAGGACAGACCAGGACAGACGGGUCCCUGCCUUCCCCAAGCUUAAUUGCUAAAUGCUGUAAAAGUUCAUCUCGAGCUUUUUGCUCCCUUCUCAGAAGACGGGACAGAGGUUUAAAGAAAACGGGAAAUAUUUUGAAAACUGACCACCCCUCAUAAGAAG